ACUGGCUCCCGGCCAGCUGGGCGGGUCCCGGGCGAAACUUGCCCUUGCUCUGGGCCACCCCAGGAACGGGCGCACGGACCCCCGGCCUCUGCCCCGCCCCAUUUCGGCUUGGCCCCGCCUCCGUUUCUUAGGGGUAGGUUCUGUUGCUGUGGGAAGGGGGCGGAGAGAAGGAAACCUUAUUUCAGCCGUGCGCUAGAUUAGACAUCAGCUAGAACGUCUCCAUUGUGACAGGGGCUGAGGGACAAGGGGGUGCGGUCUCCUCGCUCUUGGUUCGGUGUGGCCAGCCUGCCCAGAGAGCCAUGGAGCUAAUGACCUCAGAGCAAAAUAGGAGCUUCGGAGCCGCUGGUAUGAGGCGCCAGCACCAUGGUGUGGCUGCAAGAGGUCCGCAGAGGUAAGCCCAGAGACCCCCCAGCCCCAGCACCAGAUGACCAGCAGGGGAUGACAGCUCCCUGCAGCUCCAGAACAGCCCCCAGCCAUGGCCUCAUCCUAAGGCUCCCCUCUCUCUGAACCUCUCACCUCCUAUUCCUGACAUCAUUAUGCCUCCUCCAUCCUCAGACUGUCCCAGAACCUGGUGAGGUUAUCACCUCUACUCAUCCCUCAGGCAGCGGAAAGUGAGAGGGAAAAGGGGGUGGGGUACGAAGAAGCAGACUUGUGGGAUGUUUUUCUCUGUGAAGAGCGAGACUCUGCUCAGUGACUGGCCCUGCCGGGGGAGCGUGAAGCUUGAGCCAAGGAGGGGGACUGGACAGCCUCAAGACAGGCCCCUUUAUCUCAGGCCACGUUGGUGGCUCAGGGCCCAGAACUGGUCAUCUUCUGUCUUGUCUCUCCCCUUCACAUCACCCCAAACCCAAAGGCCUCUUAAACUAAGAGGAAAGUUCCUUCCAAUUCACAGAACACAACUCCCUCUCAUUUGUCUAAUACUUUCGCAUCCAGAAUAGAUCCCUGUAAAGAAUUA